rnacentral:rRNA from 1 species
UCUUAUGUACAUGCCUACAAUGUUAAUGCAUCAGAUCCCAUUAGAACUCCACAGAUAAGCGCACUUGGGAUAGAGUAGUAUUGGGAUGGGUGGCCUCCCGAGAAGUCUUGGUGUUUUACAC